AUUGAACGCUGGCGGCAGGCUUAACACAUGCAAGUCGAGCGGAAACGAUACUAGCUUGCUAGUAGGCGUCGAGCGGCGGACGGGUGAGUAAUACUUAGGAAUCUACCUAGUAGUGGGGGAUAGCACGGGGAAACUCGUAUUAAUACCGCAUACGACCUACGGGAGAAAGGGGGCAGUUUACUGCUCUCGCUAUUAGAUGAGCCUAAGUCGGAUUAGCUAGAUGGUGGGGUAAAGGCCUACCAUGGCGACGAUCUGUAGCUGGUCUGAGAGGAUGAUCAGCCACACCGGGACUGAGACACGGCCCGGACUCCUACGGGAGGCAGCAGUGGGGAAUAUUGGACAAUGGGGGCAACCCUGAUCCAGCCAUGCCGCGUGUGUGAAGAAGGCCUUUUGGUUGUAAAGCACUUUAAGCAGUGAAGAAGACCAUAUGGUUAAUACCCAUAUGCGAUGACAUUAGCUGCAGAAUAAGCACCGGCUAACUCUGUGCCAGCAGCCGCGGUAAUACAGAGGGUGCAAGCGUUAAUCGGAAUUACUGGGCGUAAAGGGAGCGUAGGUGGCUCGAUAAGUCAGAUGUGAAAUCCCCGGGCUCAACCUGGGAACUGCAUCUGAAACUGUAGAGCUAGAGUAUGUGAGAGGAAGGUAGAAUUCCAGGUGUAGCGGUGAAAUGCGUAGAGAUCUGGAGGAAUACCGAUGGCGAAGGCAGCCUUCUGGCAUAAUACUGACACUGAGGCUCGAAAGCGUGGGUAGCAAACAGG
rnacentral:rRNA from 1 species